AUUGAACGCUGGCGGCAGGCCUAACACAUGCAAGUCGAGCGGAUGAAGGGAGCUUGCUCCUGGAUUCAGCGGCGGACGGGUGAGUAAUGCCUAGGAAUCUGCCUGGUAGUGGGGGAUAACGUCCGGAAACGGGCGCUAAUACCGCAUACGUCCUGAGGGAGAAAGUGGGGGAUCUUCGGACCUCACGCUAUCAGAUGAGCCUAGGUCGGAUUAGAUAGUUGGUGGGGUAAAGGCCUACCAAGGCGGCGAUCCGUAACUGGUCUGAGAGGAUGAUCAGUCACAACGGAACUGAGACACGGUCAAGACUACUAAGGGAGGCAGCAGUGGGGAAUAUUGGACAAUGGGCGAAAGCCUGAUCCAGUCAUGCCGCGUGUGUGAAGAAGGUCUUCGGAUUGUAAAGCACUUUAAGUUGGGAGGAAGGGCAGUAAGUUAAUACCUUGCUGUUUUGACGUUACCAACAGAAUAAGCACCGGCUAACUUCGUG
rnacentral:rRNA from 1 species